AUUGAACGCUGGCGGCAUGCCUUACACAUGCAAGUCGAACGGUAACGGGCCUUCGGGUGCCGACGAGUGGCGAACGGGUGAGUAAUGCAUCGGAACGUACCUUUCAGUGGGGGAUAACGUAGCGAAAGUUACGCUAAUACCGCAUAUUCCGUGAGCAGGAAAGCAGGGGAUCGCAAGACCUUGCGCUGAUUGAGCGGCCGAUGUCAGAUUAGCUAGUUGGUGAGGUAAAGGCUCACCAAGGCGACGAUCUGUAGCGGGUCUGAGAGGAUGAUCCGCCACACUGGAACUGAGACACGGUCCAGACUCCUACGGGAGGCAGCAGUGGGGAAUUUUGGACAAUGGGGGCAACCCUGAUCCAGCCAUGCCGCGUGAGUGAAGAAGGCCUC
rnacentral:rRNA from 1 species